GUCGAACGGCAGCACAGGAGAGCUUGCUCUCUGGGUGGCGAGUGGCGGACGGGUGAGGAAUACAUCGGAAUCUACUCUGUCGUGGGGGAUAACGUAGGGAAACUUACGCUAAUACCGCAUACGACCUACGGGUGAAAGCAGGGGAUCUUCGGGCCUUGCGCGAUUGAAUGAGCCGAUGUCGGAUUAGCUAGUUGGCGGGGUAAAGGCCCACCAAGGCGACGAUCCGUAGCUGGUCUGAGAGGAUGAUCAGCCACACUGGAACUGAGACACGGUCCAGACUCCUACGGGAGGCAGCAGUGGGGAAUAUUGGACAAUGGGCGCAAGCCUGAUCCAGCCAUACCGCGUGGGUGAAGAAGGCCUUCGGGUUGUAAAGCCCUUUUGUUGGGAAAGAAAUCCAGCUGGCUAAUACCCGGUUGGGAUGACGGUACCCAAAGAAUAAGCACCGGCUAACUUCGUGCCAGCAGCCGCGGUAAUACGAAGGGUGCAAGCGUUACUCGGAAUUACUGGGCGUAAAGCGUGCGUAGGUGGUCGUUUAAGUCCGUUGUGAAAGCCCUGGGCUCAACCUGGGAACUGCAGUGGAUACUGGGCGACUAGAGUGUGGUAGAGGGUAGCGGAAUUCCUGGUGUAGCAGUGAAAUGCGUAGAGAUCAGGAGGAACAUCCAUGGCGAAGGCAGCUACCUGGACC
rnacentral:rRNA from 1 species